rnacentral:sRNA from 1 species
GUUCUGCUUCUACUUU